rnacentral:rRNA from 1 species
GACGUAGGGCGCGAGCGUUGUCCGGAUUUACUGGGCGUAAAGAGCGCGCAGGCGGCUGGUCAAGUCCGAUGUGAAAGCUCCCGGCUUAACUGGGAAAUUGCAUCGGAAACUGAUCGGCUGGAAGGUGGGAGAGGGUAGCGGAAUUCCCGGUGUAGCGGUGAAAUGCGUUGAUAUCAUCAGGAACACCGGUGGCGAAAGCGGCUUACUGGGUCUCUUCUGACGCUGAGGAACGAAAGCUAGGGGAGCGAACGGG